AGGCAAUCAAGACAGGGAGCACAUACAGGCAGGCAGAGUGAAGCACAGGACACAGGACUCAAACUAACACCAGACAAGACUAAACUAAACAGAACAGAAAACAGACCGACUAAAAAAACUAUUAAGAACACGAAACUUAAAGGCAGGGUAUCCAACGUAUCCAACAGAGAAACUCCCACCCCCUCCCUUCUGGGAUCCUUCCAAAGCCAUGCCCCCGAAACAUGUGAACAUGGAGCAUGAGCAGAGUGCGACGAGCACAGUAGGAGGAGCGCAGUACUGUGGCUAACAUCAUGUCUGAAACACAGGCCAGAAUCUGAGGACUGUGGACAACAUCCAGACUACUGUGUUUCCAUGCACCACACAUGGCUGACCUUCCAGACUCAGUACAGAGUAACAGACAGUUCAGUCAGGCAGCAUACGGACAGUUUGUAGUGUGGCAAUAGCACUUGGUCACAGAGUUGUGAUACCGAGUUGCUUUGUUUGGAAGAAAUGUGACUGUUGAUCCUCUAGGACAAUACAGAGGUUUUAUCCUAGUAGGGUGUAAUGUCACUAACAGAUAUACAAAUUGCAUCCACUAUGUGAAUAGAUACCUGUACAUAGUUAUAGUUUUAUUCCCAAGAGGGUAGAGAAAAUACAAAAUAUGUUUUUCACUGUUCUGGAUAAUAUAUUAAUUAUUUUUUAAAUAAAUAUCAAAAUGAUAAAAAAAAUUUUUACUUUCAGCAUAAACAAUCAAGCAACUACAUUUAUAUGCAUUGUAUGUUCCAUUGUUACUGACUGCAGCUUUCAUAAAAAUCUGAAAUUGAGGACUA